UAGCCAGAUGAAGCUAGCUGGCUGCUUAUAAUGUUAGAUUUGCGCAACACGGUUAAGUAGCUGCCAGGCUAUUUAUUUUCAUGAACUGAAUUUCAAUUUCAAUAGGCGAACAGCAAGUGGCUACCUAGCUAGUACUUACACACAAGGAUUCCUAAAUCAUUGCUAAGAAUAAUGAAUAUGACUGCAGUUUCUACUGGUCAUUGUUUUCAGACUCGUUGUAUUGGUUCUAGCUAGGCACCAAGCUAAAGCUAGCUAGCUAGUCCAGAAGUUGUGGUCGAACAAAUAAUGCUUUAUUACCAAUGUGGUAUUGAAAACACAUCGUUUGUGGCCGGUGUUUGCUUGUUUGCAGACUUUUUUGUACAGCUUUGACAGUGCUACUGAUAGUAGUGGUGGCGCUAGGUUUGCGCGUGCAAAUUCAGAACACACAACAUUCUAUAAUAGAACUGUGUUAUUUGACGAGUCAAAUUAAAGCUUAUUUAUUUGACGCGUCCUUCAUUUCACGUGUAUCUUUUUUGACAUGCAAAGGCCCAAACGGCGUUCCAUAGUUUUUCAGCAGCAUACCACCCUGCAUACCACUGCUGGCUUGCUUCUGAAGCUAAGCAGGGUUGGUCCUGGUCAGUCCCUGGAUGGGAGACCAGAUGCUGCUGGAAGUGGUGUUGGAGGGCCAGUAGGAGGCACUCUUUCCUCUGGUCUAAUAAAAUAUCCCAAUGCCCCAGGGCAGUGAUUGGGGACACUGCCCUGUGUAGGGUGCCGUCUUUCGGAUGGGACGUUAAACGGGUGUCCUGACUCUCUGAGGUCAUUAAAGGUGUCCUGGCUAAAUUCCCAAUCUGGCCCUCAAACCAUCAUGGUCACCUAAUAAUCCCCAGUUUACAAUUGGCUCAUUCAUCCCCCUCCUCUCCCCUGUAACUAUUCCCCAGGUCGUUGCUGCAAAUGAGAACGUGUUCUCAGUCAACUUACCUGGUAAAAUAAUGGUAAAAUAAAAAUAAAUAAAAUCGUCAUGAUGGUGUGUUUUGAAUCAUCAUGAUGGUGUGUUUUGAAUCAUCAGGAUGGUGUGUUUUGAAUCAUCAGGAUGGUGUGUUUUGCAUCAUCAGGAUGGUGUGUUUUGCAUCAUCAUGAUGGUGUCACAUCUGCUCCUGCCACACCCCCUAGUGGACAUCCGGUGUCUCCUUGACCUGCAGCCACUCCUCCAGUACACACACUCUCUCUCUCCCCAUCCCUUUCUGUAUGUUUGUGAUUGUGUGGUUGGAGACAGGUGUGCUGGAGCCAGAGCGGAUCCUCAGCAGCUGUAACCCGUUCCAUAAUCAAGACCUCUACAAAUACUCAGUCCUGACACUUCCACUCUGCCAGAUCGUAAUCUCUGCUAAAUUUGCCACUCUGGCUCCUGUCUCCUGUUCCACAUCUCACCACCCUGCUACCCUGUUCUGGAUUCACCACUCCAUUGGAUUCCUCUCUGGACCUGUUUACCCUGUUCCAACCCAGCUCACUCCAACCUCAGCCUCCACAUCUAGUUUCCUACCACUCAUCCGAGCUUCCCCGGAUCUGCACUCCAUAUCUCACUGUGUUACAAUAAAUAGCUUGGUUAAUUCA